rnacentral:rRNA from 1 species
CACGGGGGGGGCAAGCGUUGUUCGGAAUUACUGGGCGUAAAGGGCUCGUAGGUGGCCAACUAAGUCAGACGUGAAAUCCCCAGGCUCAACUUGGGAACUGCGUCUGAUACUGGAUGGCUUGAAUUCGGGAGAGGGAUGCAGAAUUCCAGGUGUAGCGGUGAAAUGCGUAGAUAUCUGGAGGAAUACCGGUGGCGAAGGCGGCAUCCUGGACCGAUAUUGACACUGAUGAGCGAAAGCUAGGGGAGCAAACGGG